GAUGAACGCUGGCGGCGUGCCUAAUACAUGCAAGUCGAGCGAACGGACGAGAAGCUUGCUUCUCUGAUGUUAGCGGCGGACGGGUGAGUAACACGUGGAUAACCUACCUAUAAGACUGGGAUAACUUCGGGAAACCGUAGCUAAUACCGGAUAAUAUUUUGAACCGCAUGGUUCAAAAGUGAAAGACGGUCUUGCUGUCACUUAUAGAUGGAUCCGCGCUGCAUUAGCUAGUUGGUAAGGUAACGGCUUACCAAGGCAACGAUGCAUAGCCGACCUGAGAGGGUGAUCAGCCACACUGGAACUGAGACACGGUCCAGACUCCUACGGGAGGCAGCAGUAGGGAAUCUUCCGCAAUGGGCGAAAGCCUGACGGAGCAACGACGCGUGAGUGAUGAAGGUCUUCGGAUCGUAAAACUCUGUUAUUAGGGAAGAACAUAUGUGUAAGUAACUGUGCACAUCUUGACGGUACCUAAUCAGAAAGCCACGGCUAACUACGUG
rnacentral:rRNA from 1 species